rnacentral:rRNA from 1 species
UUAGAGUUUGAUCCUGGCUCAGGACGAACGUUUGCGGCGUGCCUAACACAUGCAAGUCGAGCGAAUGAUUUUUCUUCGGGAACGGAUUUAGCGGCGGACGGGUGAGUAACACGUGGGCAACCUGCCUCAUAGAGGGGAAUAGCCUUCCGAAAGGGAGAUUAAUACCGCAUAAGAUUGUAGUACCGCAUGGUACAGCAAUUAAAGGAGCAAUCCGCUAUGAGAUGGACCCGCGUCGCAUUAGCUAGUUGGUGAGGUAACGGCUCACCAAGGCGACGAUGCGUAGCCGACCUGAGAGGGUGAUCGGCCACAUUGGGACUGAGACACGGCCCAGACUCCUACGGGAGGCAGCAGUGGGGAAUAUUGCACAAUGGGGGAAACCCUGAUGCAGCAACGCCGCGUGAGUGAUGACGGUCUUCGGAUUGUAAAGCUCUGUCUUUAGGGACGAUAAUGACGGUACCUAAGGAGGAAGCCACGGCUAACUACGUGCCAGCAGCCGCGGUAAUACGUAGGUGGCAAGCGUUGUCCGGAUUUACUGGGCGUAAAGGGAGCGUAGGUGGAUAUUUAAGUGGGAUGUGAAAUACCCGGGCUUAACCUGGGUGCUGCAUUCCAAACUGGAUAUCUAGAGUGCAGGAGAGGAAAGGAGAAUUCCUAGUGUAGCGGUGAAAUGCGUAGAGAUUAGGAAGAAUACCAGUGGCGAAGGCGCCUUUCUGGACUGUAACUGACACUGAGGCUCGAAAGCGUGGGGAGCAAACAGGAUUAGAUACCCUGGUAGUCCACGCCGUAAACGAUGAAAUACUAGGUGUAGGGGGUUGUCAUGACCUCUGUGCCGCCGCUAACGCAUUAAGUAUUCCGCCUGGGGAGUACGGUCGCAAGAUUAAAACUCAAAGGAAUUGACGGGGGCCCGCACAAGCAGCGGAGCAUGUGGUUUAAUUCGAAGCAACGCGAAGAACCUUACCUAGACUUGACAUCUCCUGAAUUACUCUGUAAUGGAGGAAGCCGCUUCGGCGGCAGGAAGACAGGUGGUGCAUGGUUGUCGUCAGCUCGUGUCGUGAGAUGUUGGGUUAAGUCCCGCAACGAGCGCAACCCUUAUUGUUAGUUGCUACCAUUUAGUUGAGCACUCUAGCGAGACUGCCCGGGUUAACCGGGAGGAAGGUGGGGAUGACGUCAAAUCAUCAUGCCCCUUAUGUCUAGGGCUACACACGUGCUACAAUGGUCGGUACAAUGAGAUGCAACCUCGCGAGAGUGAGCAAAACUAUAAAACCGAUUUCAGUUCGGAUUGUAGGCUGAAACUCGCCUACAUGAAGCUGGAGUUGCUAGUAAUCGCGAAUCAGAAUGUCGCGGUGAAUACGUUCCCGGGCCUUGUACACACCGCCCGUCA